GUUUGUUUCUGUCUUCACUUUUUUAAAGCUUUACUCUUCCCCUUCAAGAAUGGAAGUGACCUGCAGGCGGCCCGGGACCGUUUCUUUCUUGUCCCGCCUCGUGUCGCCAGCAUCUAAAGCUGCGCCCGGCACUUGGUUGCGCCGCGAGUGGAGGCGUGUAUGUGUGCACGAAUGCCAGGAAGAAAAUACUAGCACGGGCCUCUGGGAUACCGGAACACAGAUACACGGUUCCAUCUGAGAAGGCUUCCUGCAGAAAUGUUUAACGUGAGACGGAAAAUGUUGAGUCCUGAAAAGACCCGGAUGCUGGGAAAGAUUGAACGCGGGAGGAGAAGGGGACCACAGAGGAUGAGAUGGCUGGAUGGCAUCGCUGACUCGAUGGACCUGAGUUUGGGGCUUCCCUGGUGACUCAGAUGAUAAAGAAUAUGCCUGUAAUGCAGGAGACCUGGCUUCGAUCCCUUGGGUGGGGAAGAUCCCUAGGGCAGGGAAUGGCUACCUGCUCCAGUAUUCUUGCCUGGAGAAUUCCAUAACAGAGGACACUGGUGGGCUACCAUCCAUGGGUUCGCAAAGAAUUGGGCAGACUGAGCAACUAACACACACACACACACGUUGACACAUUCAGUGUGGCCAAUGUACUAUCCUAGUAUAAGAUGUUAAUGAUUUAGGAGACGCAGCGUGUGGAGGGACUUACUGUACUUUGCC
ensembl:lncRNA